CAAUUACAAACACAGGUUUCUGUCUCUGCUUCUGAAUUACUGCCCCCCCNNNNNNNNNNNGGUAAAAAGCCUGUGUAACCCCCAUCACUACCCUCCAUCCCCUGUCUCCAUCCCCUCAGCUUUAUCUCCAGCCCCCCCAUCCCGUUUUCCUGCCUUCAGCCCACCCUCCCUCUCACCCCCCUGAAGUUUUCCCAGUACAAAUGGACACUCAUUGAAAACAAAGUCAAACAAAGGCUAAUGGGGAACGUAAACAGGCACGCCUGUUUUGAUUCGCCCUCCAGAACAAUUUUAUGACGCAGCGAAAGAAAAAUGUGGUAAUAUUUAGAUUUUUUUGAAGGAAGCAAGUUCAUUGCCAAAUAUGACAAAUCAAUGGGAUGAUGAUGGAACUGUGAAGGUAGACAGACAAACGAUGUCCUUGAGUUUAUUUCCUAGCUUUCAUCUAGUCUGUGUACACUACUUCAGAGGGAGAACGUGAAGUGGAAUAUAAUUCCAUUUCUCUUAUCUUCAACUUAAUAUCACAGUGUGACUGACUGACUGCUCCGAAUAUAGGUCUGUCUUCCCUGACUGAGACAAAUUAACAUCUGUGUCACCUACAACAAAUCUAGCCAAACUAGUACAUUGAGUCCUAAGGUCUCAGUAUAAUUUGUUGAGGUCCUAAAGCCUCAGUAUAAUUCAUUGAAUCCUAAUGCCUUAAUGUCUUACACAAACAAGCAAUAAAAAUAAAAGCCAUUUUAAAAAUGUGUUCAUCAAUCACGAAGUUCAUCACCAAGACAUGGGUUCAUAAGGUUUGCAUCAGGUGUUUGUCCUGAACAGACCUGACUAGGGAAAUCUCUGGGCCCAUGUUAUAGCCUAUCACGUAAUUAGGGAAAUCUCUGGGCCCAUGUUAUAGCCUAUCACGUAAUUAGGGAAAUCUCUGGGCCCAUGUUAUAGCCUACCUAUCAUUUAAGCGGGGAAAUCUCUGGGCCCAUGUUAUAGCCUAUCACGUAACUAGGAAAAACUCUGGGCCUGUGUUAUAACCUACCUAUCAUUUAAGUAGGGAAAUCUUAGGGCCCAUGUUAUAGCCUAUCACGUAACUAGGAAAAACUCUGGGCCUGUGUUAUAACCUACCUAUCAUUUAAGCGGGGAAAUCUCUGGGCCUAUGUUAUAGCCUAUCAUGUAUAUAGGAAAAACUCUGGGCC
rnacentral:lncRNA from 13 species